UCCCGUUGAUCCCGCGGGAGGUUGCUGCUAUUAGGGUUCGACUAAGCCAUGCAAGUCUUCUAGCAAUAGAGGCAAACUGCUCAGUAACACGUCGAUAAUCUGCCCUUAGGUAUGGGAUACCCUCGGGAAACUGAGGUUAACACCGUAUAGGAAAACAACACUGGAAUGUGUGUUUUUUUAAAAGCAAUGCCUAAGGAUGAGUUGGCGGCGGAUUAGGUUGUUGGUGAGGUAACGGCUCACCAAGCCGAAGAUCCGUAGGGGCCUUGAGAGAGGUAGCCCCGAGAAGGGUACUGAGACACUGACCCUAGCCCUACGGGGUGCAGCAGGCGCGGAACCUUUACAAUGCACGCAAGUGUGAUAAGGGGACCCUAAGUGCUUUGCUUAUGCAAGGCUUUUUUCAAGAGUAAAUAUCUUGAAGAAUAAGUGGUGGGCAAUACCUGUGCCAGCCGCCGCGGUAAUCCAGGAGCCACAAGUGGCAACCAUAAUUAUUGGGCCUAAAGCGUCCGUAGCAUGUUUGAUAAAUCUUCUGUGAAAUCAUUGGGCUUAACUCAAUGGAUUGCAGAAGAGACUGUCAGACUAGGGACCGGGAGGAGUCAGAGGUAUUUCGGGGGGAGCGGUAAAAUGCUAUAAUCCUCGAAGGACCACCUGUGGCGAAGGCGUCUGACUAGAACGGAUCCGACCGUGAGGGACGAAAGCUAGGGGAGCAAUCCGGAUUAGAUACCCGAGUAGUCCUAGCCGUAAACGCUGCGAGCUAGGUGUUGCAUAAUCUUCGUGAUUUUGCAGUGUCGAAGCGAAGGUGAUAAGCUCGCCGCCUGGGAAGUAUGGUCGCAAGGCUGAAACUUAAAGGAAUUGGCGGGGGAGCACUACAAGGGGUGCGGCGUGCGGUUUAAUCUAAUUCAACGCAGAGAAACUCACCAGAAGCGACGGCAGGAUGAAAGUCAGUCUAAAGGGCUUACUUGACGAGCCGAGAGGUAGUGCAUGGCCGUCGUCAGCUCGUGCCGUAAGGUGUCCUGUUAAGUCAGGCAACGAGCGAGACCUGUACUUAUAAUUGCUAACAGUUCGAUUCGUCGAGGUCUGAGCACAUUAUAAGGACUGCCCUGGAAACAGGGAGGAAGGUGCAGGCUACGGUAGGUCUGUAUGCUCCGAAUCUUCUGGGCUACACGCGCGCAACAAUGGUAAGGACAAUGGGAUACGACUCCGAAAGGAGAAGUUAAUCCUCGAAACCUUACCCAAGUUCAGAUUGAGGGUUGCAACUCACCCUCAUGACGCUGGAAUCCCUAGUAAUCAGGUCUUAUCAUGGCCCGGUGAAUAUGUCCCUGCUCCUUGCACACACCGCCCGUCAAACCACCCGAGUAGGGUUUAGAUGAGGCCUCAUUUUUAAUGAGCUCGAAUCUAAGCUCAGCGAGGAGGGUUAAGUCUUCACAAGGUA
rnacentral:rRNA from 1 species